UACGUAGGUGGCGAGCGUUGUCCAGAAUUACUGGGCGUAAAGGGCGCGUAGGCGGUUUUUUAAGUUAGAUGUGAAAACCCAGGGCUUAACUUUGGGCGUGCAUUUAAAACUGGAGAGCUUGAGUGCAGGAGAGGUAAGUGGAAUUCCUAGUGUAGCGGUGAAAUGCGUAGAUAUUAGGAGGAACACCAGUGGCGAAGGCGACUUACUGGACUGUAACUGACGCUGAGGCGCGAAAGCGUGGGGAGCAAACAGGAUUAGAUACCCGCGUAGUCCCUGAG
rnacentral:rRNA from 1 species